rnacentral:rRNA from 1 species
GAUGAACGCUGGCGGCGUGCCUAAUACAUGCAAGUCGAGCGAAUGGAUUAAGAGCUUGCUCUUAUGAAGUUAGCGGCGGACGGGUGAGUAACACGUGGGUAACCUGCCCAUAAGACUAGGAUAACUCCGGGAAACCGGGGCUAAUACCGGAUAACAUUUUGAACCGCAUGGUGCGAAAUUGAAAGGCGGCUUCGGCUGUCACUUAUGGAUGGACCAGCGUCGCAUUAGCUAGUUGGUGAGGUAACGGCUCACCAAGGCAACGAUGCGUAGCCGACCUGAGAGGGUGAUCGGCCACACUGGGACUGAGACACGGCCCAGACUCCUACGGGAGGCAGCAGUAGGGAAUCUUCCGCAAUGGACGAAAGUCUGACGGAGCAACGCCGCGUGAGUGAUGAAGGCUUUCGGGUCGUAAAACUCUGUUGUUAGGGAAGAACAAGUGCUAGUUGAAUAAGCUGGCACCUUGACGGUACCUAACCAGAAAGCCACGGCUAACUACGUGCCAGCCGCCGCGGUAA